AGGGGCGGCUCAACGUAAUUGGGGGCCUAAAGCGAAAUUUCAAUUCGCGGCCUAAAAUAUAAAUACACUUCAUAUACGUAUUUAUUCAAAAAAAAAAAUUACACUAUUAAGAUGAAAAUUAUUAGUACUUAAUAUUGUUUUUUGAGUUACUAGUUUUAGGUAAGAUUUUAUCAACACAACAUUGAAAAACAUCCUUUAAGUGAGACAAUUAUUAUAUGCAUUGUUAACAUAAUGAUAUAAGUAAUAAGUUGAUAAAUAUUAAAUAAAGAUAAGAGUUAGAAGUUUAGAAUCAUAGAAUUUGACUCAAAAAAUUGAUGACUUGGUAUACCUCAUUUUAAUAUGCUUAGAGUAAUGCUUGAAACUAAAAUUUAAAAAUUGGGGUUUUGAACUGACCAAUUAAGAAUUGAAAUUUGAAGUCUUUUGUUUAUGUGUAUUAACAGGGGCGGCUCAACGUAAUUGGGGGGCUAAAGCGAAAUUUCAAUUCGCGGCCUAAAAUAUAAAUACACUUCAUAUACGUAUUUAUUCAAAAAAAAAAAUUACACUAUUAAGAUGAAAAUUAUUAGUACUUAAUAUUGUUUUUUGAGUUACUAGUUUUAGGUAAGAUUUUAUCAACACAACAUUGAAAAACAUCCUUUAAGUGAGACA
rnacentral:lncRNA from 1 species